UACGUAGGGGGCAAGCGUUGUCCGGAAUUAUUGGGCGUAAAGAGCUCGUAGGCGGUGUGUCACGUCGGCCGUGAAAACCUGCAGCUUAACUGUGGGCGUGCGGUCGAUACGGGCAUCACUGGAGUUCGGCAGGGGAGACUGGAAUUCCUGGUGUAGCGGUGAAAUGCGCAGAUAUCAAGAGGAACACCGGUGGCGAAGGCGGGUCUCUGGGCCGAUACUGACGCUGAGGAGCGAAAGCGUGGGGAGCAAACAGG
rnacentral:rRNA from 1 species